AGUCGAGCGAGGGUCUUCGGACCCUAGCGGCGGACGGGUGAGUAACACGUAGGCAACCUGCCUGUAAGACUGGGAUAACAUAGGGAAACUUAUGCUAAUACCGGAUAGGGUUUUGCUUCUCCUGAAGCGAAACGGAAAGAUGGCGCAAGCUAUCACUUACAGAUGGGCCUGCGGCGCAUUAGCUAGUUGGUGAGGUAAUGGCUCACCAAGGCGACGAUGCGUAGCCGACCUGAGAGGGUGACCGGCCACACUGGGACUGAGACACGGCCCAGACUCCUACGGGAGGCAGCAGUAGGGAAUUUUCCACAAUGGACGAAAGUCUGAUGGAGCAACGCCGCGUGAACGAUGAAGGCUUUCGGGUCGUAAAGUUCUGUUGUUAGGGAAGAAACAGUGCCAUUUAAAUAAGGUGGCACCUUGACGGUACCUAACGAGAAAGCCACGGCUAACUACGUGCCAGCAGCCGCGGUAAUACGUAGGUGGCAAGCGUUGUCCGGAAUUAUUGGGCGUAAAGCGCGCGCAGGUGGCUAUGUAAGUCUGAUGUUAAAGCCCGAGGCUCAACCUCGGUUCGCAUUGGAAACUGUGUAGCUUGAGUGCAGGAGAGGAAAGUGGUAUUCCACGUGUAGCGGUGAAAUGCGUAGAGAUGUGGAGGAACACCAGUGGCGAAGGCGACUUUCUGGCCUGUAACUGACACUGAGGCGCGAAAGCGU
rnacentral:rRNA from 1 species